AAAGGUUUGGUCCUAGCCUUGAAGUCAGUUCUUAUUUAAUAUACACAUGCAAGUUUCCGCACCCCUGUGAAAACGCCCUCAAAUCCCCAUUAGGGAAUAGGAGCCGGUAUCAGGCACAAUUAUUGCCCAAAACACCUAGCCUCGCCACACCCACAAGGGACCUCAGCAGUGAUUAACAUUGAGUAUUAGCGUCAGCUUGACUCAGUUAAACUUUUUAGAGCCGGCCAAUCUGGUGCCAGCCGCCGCGGUUACACCAGAAGCUCAAAUUGACUUUUAUCGGCGUAAAGCGUGAUUAAAGUUAUUAAUUUUUUGGAGUCAAACUAAAACUAAGCUGUGACACGCCUGUUACCUAAGAAGCCCCAAAACGAAAGCUACUCCAAUUUACCCCACUUGAAUUCACGACACCUGAGAAACAAACUGGGAUUAGAUACCCCACUAUGCUCAGUCGUAAACUUUAAAUUACACCUUCUCUCGCCUGGGAACUACGAGCCAAGCUUAAAACCCAAAGGACUUGACGGUACCCCAUAUCCCCCUAGAGGAGCCUGUCCUACAAUCGAUAAUCCCCGUUUAACCUCACCAUUUUUAGCUUUUUCAGCCUGUAUACCUCCGUCGUCAGCUUACCACGUGAGCGUCAGUGAGCUUAAUGUUAUCCAACCAUACGUCAGGUCAAGGUGCAACUUAUAAAAUGGGAAGAGAUGGGCUACACUCUCUACUAUAGAUCAUACGAAAGACUACUAAUGAAAAUUUGUCAGAAGGCGGAUUUAGCAGUAAAUAGAAACCAAAGAGUUCUUUUUAAUUUGGCACUGGGGUGUGUACACACCGCCCGUCACCCUCCUCUAUUGCUUAAAAUAGUAUUUAACCAAUUUCAGCUUCUCAGAAGAGGUAAGUCGUAACAUGGUAAGUAUACCGGAAGGUGUGCUUGGAUA
rnacentral:ncRNA from 1 species